CAGAAAAGAAAAAAAUUACCUACAAAGGGAACUUAAACUGGCUGCUUCUCUCUGGACUCGGUGGCUCCAUCAACCCCUCGCGUCCAGGAUUUGAGCUCUGUCUGCAGUACAAGUUGCAAGAUCUACUUCCUUGCCCCCACCUCCCCGACCCCUCACAGCCGUGGGCAGCAUUCCGGCUGGGAGAAGAUACCCGAGGAGCCUCCAGAGCCUUCGUGAAUGAUGCUCAAGAGCCAGGAAACAGAUGGACCGUAGAAAUCAUCGUGUGAGAUGAAUCUUAAGGGAAGGAGGCACGGUAGAUGCUGUGAAGAGCGGUGUGGUGGGGAGGAGAAGGAGAGACGAGGAAGUAUUAGCAGGUGGAGGCAGAACCGACUGCAAGGCAGAGGGGCUGUUCUGCUGGGAUCAGCACUACGAGAAGGGGUUUGUGCAGAAGGUUUGGGAAAGGUGUUUUUGAAGCACUGAGGUGUAACUAGGGGGCCGUAGCGCAGACAGGAGGAGUCAGAGCCUCCUCUUUGGUGGAAGCGUUGGUAGGUGAGCAAGGAGCAUCCCGGCUGCGGAGCUGGGCUCGCUGGGCUCUGUUGAGCAGGGAAUGGCCAUGGGGAGGUUGGCUGGGAGCUGUAUGAGUCCGUUCUUCAGCGUUCAGACAGCCUGUGUGAAUGUGACCCCAAAUCUUGAUGCUUCCUCUGGGGAAUGUGUGGACGGCCCCAGGAGAGGCGCGGAGGGCAGGACGGGAAUCCGUGUGCGUAGGGAAUGGAAGAGUUGGGACCGAGGAGUCGUGAGUGUGGCUCUGAGCAGUGGUUUGGGAGAGGGGUUUUCUGGCCCGGCGAUGGGCAGGAAGUGGGAAGGCAAGAGGAGGAACUGUGCUGUCACACAGCAGCGCUGAAAAGAUGAACGUGUCCAGGUCACUGUAAAAAAAAAAAUAGCUACGUUGGUGUUUGUGUGUUCUGUUGUGCUUUAUUUUUAAUUUUCUGUUUGAAGUAGGAAAGAAAAAGGGACUGUGAGUUUUGCAGGGCAGAGACUUGUGGAACGGACGAUGCCUGUUGUCAUGCAGGUGAGAAGAGAAUGAGACUGCUGAUGGAUGAGGUGAGGGGCAGAGCUUAGAGGACUCGGGCUCUGGAAUGGAGGCCAGAGGUGGUGCGGAGCUCAGCAGUGCUUUGGACUGAAAGAGAGCUGAUGGAGUGCCGCCGCUGUCGCAUAGGGCACGGUAUGCGGGCAUCCACCACCCUGUAUGAUUCCUUGUUUGGGGCUUUGCCUUGUCUUGACGGGCAGUAAGUUUGUAGACUUCCAGUGAAGCCUUCUUUGCCUUUGGAAGAAGUGAGCUUGCUUUUUCUUUCUCUUUUCCACCUUGUCAUUGGAGUCUCUGGAUUCCCCAAGAGGGUUCUUUGUGAAAUAGGUUAAUGGAAAGAGGAGCCUCAGCCUCGGCUCUUGUUCAGUCCUCGACGCCUGUGCUCCUGACCUUACGGAGCUGGGAAGGGGCAGGGGAGCCUCCUCCUGAAGGCUUCUCACCCCUGCCAGAGCCGCGUGUGCCGGAGGGGAGCAGGGAGUUUCCUUCAAGUGAUUUUCCAACGCGUAGGGUUUGGAUGACACUUAGCGUUACCUCAUUUCUCCUCCACUCCCUCCCUAUCUCCUAACAGGCAGAUUGAUGUCCUGUGUAUCAGUACCAGUUAUUGACUCCCACAGCAGAAGCUGAGGAAGAGAAAAACGUUACUGUCAUUUCCUGGUCCUCUCAUGUUCUCCAGCUCACAAACAUUGGAAACUUUCCCAGACCUUACAGGUGCCUCCAAAAACAGGCAGAAUGGAGACUCCUGGCACUGUUGGGGCUUUAAAUGAAAACUUUAACGAAAAAAAAAAAAAAAAAGGCCAGUUGACUUGUAAAUGCCCAAAUGCUUCCAGUCUUUAGGACAGCUCCAGAGCUCCAUAACAUUCCUGGCUAGAUAGGAACACCCUCGGGCUGCCCUUGGCCCUUGCCGGGGGGGAUCAGACCAACGGCACGGAGGGGGAUGGAGGUUGAACUUUGUUCCGUGGGGUCUUCUUGCUGUUGAGAAACAUAUCUUUAUGUGGCACUUCCCUUGUUGGCCAAGUAUUUCUUAUUUUCUUUUCCAGUUCUUGGAAGGGUGCCAAAGGCUUGUCCAAGUGAUUGCUAGUUUAGUGCUGGUAGGCACUUCGAUCUCUGGUCACUCGAUAAAGAACAAGAGGCCUGGGUGUUGUUAAAGCUGUUGAUACCAUAGCCAUGGUAGGUAAUCCAUAUUGGAUAUCCAUAAGGACCACGUGG
rnacentral:lncRNA from 1 species